GUCUAUAGCCAUACCACUCUGAACACAUCUGAUCUUACCUAAUCUUGGAAGCUAAGAACGGUCAGGCCUGGUUAGUACCUGGAUAGGAGAUUAUAAUCUAAGGUUGUUUUUUUUU
ensembl:rRNA 5S_rRNA 5S ribosomal RNA